rnacentral:rRNA from 1 species
UACAACGGGUGGAGCCUGCGGUUUAAUUGGUAUUCAACGCCGGAAAUCUCACCGGGGCGACAGCAAUAUGAAGGUCAGGCUGAAGACCUUACCCGAUUAGCUGAGAGGUGGUGCAUGGCCGUCGUCAGUUCGUACUGUGAAGCAUCCUGUUAAGUCAGGCAACGAGCGAGACCCACGUCCACAGUUGCCAGCAUACCCCCCGGGGUGAUGGGUACACUGUGGAGACCGCCGCUGCUAAAGCGGAGGAAGGAGUGGGCAACGGUAGGUCAGUAUGCCCCGAAUCUCCCGGGCUACACGCGGGCUACAAUGGUUGGUACAAUGGGCAUCUACCCCGAAAGGGGAAGGAAAUCUCUUAAAGCCAAUCGUAGUUCGGAUUGAGGGCUGCAACUCGCCCUCAUGAAGCUGGAAUCCGUAGUAAUCGCGUUUCAACAGAACGCGGUGAAUACGUCCCUGCUCCUU